CAUUCAAAGGAAUUGAGACAAGAUCUUCCAUUGGCCCACCCCGUUCUUCAGUCAGGUCGUCACGGGUGUCCAAUCCAUCAACCGAAUAGGGGUCGGGCUGACCACUUCUUUGUAGGGCUAUAUUAUAGCAAUGCCUUACUAGGGCUUGAUCUCCUCUAACUUCUCCGACCCCCUAGCUAGUAGGAAAUUUCAAUUUCAGAUGGUAGGUCGAUACUA
rnacentral:lncRNA from 1 species